rnacentral:rRNA from 1 species
UACAGAGGUCUCAAGCGUUGUUCGGAUUCAUUGGGCGUAAAGGGUUUGUAGGUGGCUUGCUAAGUCAGACGUGAAAUCCCUCAGCUUAACUGGGGAACUGCGUCUGAGACUGGCAAGCUUGAGUGCAGGAGAGGAACGCGGAAUUCCAGGUGUAGCGGUGAAAUGCGUAGAUAUCUGGAGGAACACCGGUGGCGAAGGCGGCGUUCUGGACUGUAACUGACACUGAUGAACGAAAGCCAGGGGAGCAAACGGG